rnacentral:rRNA from 1 species
UACAGAGGUCUCAAGCGUUGUUCGGAUUCAUUGGGCGUAAAGGGUGUGUAGGUGGCGCCGUAAGUCGGGUGUGAAAUCUCAGAGCUCAACUCUGAAAUGGCACUUGAUACUGCUCUGCUGGAGGACUGGAGAGGAGAUUGGAAUUCACGGUGUAGCAGUGAAAUGCGUAGAUAUCGUGAGGAAGACCGGUGGCGAAGGCGGAUCUCUGGACAGUUCCUGACGCUGAGGCGCGAAAGCGUGGGGAGCAAACAGG